rnacentral:rRNA from 1 species
AGAGUUUGAUUAUGGCUCAGAUUGAACGCUGGCGGCAUGCCUUACACAUGCAAGUCGAACGGUAACGCGGGGCAACCUGGCGACGAGUGGCGAACGGGUGAGUAAUACAUCGGAACGUGCCCAGUAGUGGGGGAUAGCCCGGCGAAAGCCGGAUUAAUACCGCAUACGACCUAAGGGUGAAAGGGGGGGAUCGCAAGACCUCUCGCUAUUGGAGCGGCCGAUGUCAGAUUAGGUAGUUGGUGGGGUAAAAGCCUACCAAGCCGACGAUCUGUAGCUGGUCUGAGAGGACGACCAGCCACACUGGGACUGAGACACGGCCCAGACUCCUACGGGAGGCAGCAGUGGGGAAUUUUGGACAAUGGGCGCAAGCCUGAUCCAGCCAUGCCGCGUGCGGGAAGAAGGCCUUCGGGUUGUAAACCGCUUUUGUCAGGGAAGAAACGGUCUGGGCGAAUAACCUGGGCUAAUGACGGUACCUGAAGAAUAAGCACCGGCUAACUACGUGCCAGCAGCCGCGGUAAUACGUAGGGUGCAAGCGUUAAUCGGAAUUACUGGGCGUAAAGCGUGCGCAGGCGGUCCUAUAAGACAGAUGUGAAAUCCCCGGACUCAACCUGGGAACUGCAUUUGUGACUGUAGGGCUUGAGUACGGUAGAGGGGGAUGGAAUUCCGCGUGUAGCAGUGAAAUGCGUAGAUAUGCGGA